AAAAACAUAGCCAAGCUCAAUUACGCUAGGUGAUACCUGCUCAGUGGUCAAUGAUUAAAUUAAUUUUAUCUUUAUUAAAUUGAUUAAACAGCUGCCUUAAUCCUAGAGGGUACUAAGUAAGCAUAAUCUGAUGCCGUUUGAUUGGCGGAGAGUUGAAUGGACGAACGAGCGCAUAACUGUCUUGUUAAAAGUUAAAUUUAAUUAGACUUCCAAGUGAAGAGGCUUGGUUUAAUAGAUAGACGAGAAGACCCCGUGAAGCUUUACUAUAAGCUGAUUUAAAUACAUAAAAAUUUAGUUAAUUUUAACUUAUAAACUUUCAAAGAGUUUUAUUUUAAUUUAGUAGUCAGCUUGGUAGUUUAGGUGGGGCGCCUGUACUUUAAUAUAAACAAGGAAUUAGCAAUAUUUACUAAGAUUAAGACUGUGUAAUAAACUUUUUUAUACAGGGUUAUAAACGGUUAAACGACCCUCACUAUAUAAAGUGAGUCAAAGAAUAAUAGCUACUCCGGGGAUAACAGGGUAAUUAAGUUUUGCAGUUGUUAUGUAAUAUUUUGUUUGCCACCUCGAUGUUGAAUUGGCUUAUCCUAGCGGAGGAGAAGCUGCUAAGGGUAGGACUGUUCGUCCUAUAAAAAGCUACAUGAUUUG
rnacentral:rRNA from 1 species